rnacentral:lncRNA from 1 species
CAGAAAUGAAAAAACACACAAAAAAGCAAAAAAUAAAGACGGGGGUCUCACUACGUUGCUCAGGCUGUGUUGUUUUUUUUUUUGAAACUGAGGUUCAUUUAUAAAAGAACACAUGUUGUUGUAGCUAUGUAAGAAAAUGUCCUUGCUUUUGGGAGACACAUGAAAUUAUUUAGAAGUGAAGGCCAUGGUGACUGUAAAUUUUGCUGAAACGAAUGAUCAAAAACGAAGAAUAUGUACACAUAUAUAGCGAGAGAUUGAUAGAGCAAUGUGGCAACAUGUGAAUACUGUAGUUGGUGAUUUACAUGAAGAAUAUACAGAAAUUCAU